UACGUAGGCAGCGAGCGUUGUUCGGAGUUACUGGGCGUAAAGGGUGUGUAGGCGGUUGUUUAAGUUUGGUGUGAAAUCUCCCGGCUCAACUGGGAGGGUGCGCCGAAUACUGAAUGACUAGAGUGCGGGAGAGGAGAGUGGAAUUCCUGGUGUAGCGGUGCAAUGCGUAGAUAUCAGGAGGAACACCGGUGGUGUAGACGGCUCUCUGGACCGUAACUGACGCUGAGACACGAAAGCGUGGGUAGCAAACAGG
rnacentral:rRNA from 1 species